UAAACUUCAGCGUUAUGUACUUUGUAAGGCCCCAUGACUUAGUUCUUUUUCUUUUUGCGAAAUCAUGACUUAGUUCGGUUAGACUAGCUCUCUUAAUCAACCGAAAAAGUAAAGAUCCUUCAGAAAGAAAAUUAACUAUGCUCACAAUGAAUAUUACAAGUUGAACUUAAUUACUAAAGAUGGUCCAGCCUUCACAAGAUUGAAAGCUUGCAUGCAAACUGAUUUGAGCUAAGCCUAGUUUUCUUCCAUAAGUCCAGGAGACCAUCUCCUAAAACCUGCACCAAUAAGGAUCAGCUGCAAAAGUACACGUAUAAGUGAAUGAGGUGAAAAGGGAUAACCAGAGAUUUAAUUACUAAAUGUAGAAUUAAGAACAUAUUGUCUCGAUGUUUUACUUUGACUGGAUGCAAACAACAACAUUGACAAAUUAAACCCCUCAAUAACCUUCUGGAUUAUGCAAAGCCAUCAGUCCUACAUUUUCCCUCCUGGAGACACAUUUAAACAAUUGACUGUGACCAAAUGAGGAGAAAAGCUCAUUAGCACCAAAGAAUCAACAAUCAAAUAUUACGGAUUCCAAAAUCAUGUUAGCUCAAAAACAACAUCAGAAAGCACCUUGCAUAAUAAUUACUGAGAUGCGGAGAUUGGAACCACAAUGCCGAUUACCAAAGAUAUGGAUCUAAAAAGGGUAGAUAAUCCUAAUUAUCAAAGAGAAAAGAUGAUACAUUUUUCUCAUUCCCAAUUACGUAUGUAGUGUCAUGCAUCCUACAGAAGGAUGCACUUAAGGCAUUUCCUUUAUAUUGACGACCUAGGUAAAAGAGCAGCGUUCAUGAGGUUCAUUCUUAGUGUGCAAUUCUCGGUGCUUAGGUGACGUCACAUAUAGGUUCUACUAAACAUACCUAUGACAAAAGAGAGAAAAAAACACUUUUUGCACUGACGAUACAACAUUGAACUGGGCUCUAAGUGCUAAUGUUAGCAUUUAGACAGAAGGGUCCUUGUCAAAGCUUUGAAGGUGGUAUUAAACAACAAUUCAGCUCAGAAGGCAAAAAAAAAACUAUAAAUUAGACUGAUAAGAGUGUGUUGCUCUUCGGACAAAGUUCUGAGCAGAGUGAAUUUCUGCCUUUGUUAUGAGAAGUAGUUAAUUCUUAAUAGAGGUUAAGGCUAUGUUAUUGUGGCAAAUCUCCGUUGUAGUAAAGAGGCGAAUAUGAGAAUUUUGCAAAGUUUCAUACUUUUGGAAGAGCAACAUAAGGUGGCUCUUAUAGCCUCGGUGAUGUAUGAGAUAUAUUUUCUCUCAUAAGACUUCUUGUCUCCAAGUACUGUAGUUAUUCAUUUCAAUAUCUGUAUUCACUAUAAUUCAGUAUUUUGGUUACAUAAUUAAUAAAGGUUUCAUAUUCACUGACCUACCCAAGGACCAAGCACAUGAUCAAGGGAUUCUUAGCUAUGGACCUACCGAAGGACUAAUGACUACAUGUCACUGUCUAGCACCAAGUCUUUCUAUAAGAAGCCGGCCACCCCUAAGCAAAAGGGGGAUAACUUAUUUCCCAUUUGUUUACUUCUCCAUCUUCGAAAUAUCUAGCAGGGCAACCGUAAGUCUCUAAUGACUAUAUGGUGCUUUUGUUUCUACACACUAGGUAUAUGAUUAGGAAUGGGCACGGAAGGCACUAGGAAUUAUGGGUGCAACUGUGGAAUCCCAACGUGCACUCUUGGGUUCAGCCAGCCGUUGUGCCUGUUAGAGUUAAGCAAAAAAGCCAGGAGCGACAAGCCCCUGUAGAUCGAUCUACACCAGCAGUAUACGUACGUGCUACGAUCAACAAGGCACGGUAGCUGUAUGAUGACCAAGCGAAGAUAGCUUCACGUGUAGAGGCGCAAGGAUCAAUCCAGCUGCCUGACUGUGUGCUAAGUUAGCACAUACACGAACGUUACUGUUCCUGGGGGUUUUGGAUCUAGCUACUCUGUACUCUCCCUCGAUCUUUACUGCUCUGACACUUUCUUUCUUGGCUGGAAUGCUCUUUCUUGCCCAUCUGGAACGUGAACCGGAGGAUGAUGCCAAUGAUGCAUCUAGUAGAGAUCAUCUGCAUCCCUAACUGACCUGACCCAAGGCUGACCAGAUAGACAUACAGCAAGUAUUUGUUUGCUUUUAGCCUGGCUUGUAAGACAGACGAUCACAAUGGCUUGGAAUUCCACUACCAAAAUGGCUUGGGAUAUCAUGCAUAAAUAUCAGAAAUGUCGUCCUUAGCAUCCACACUAGACGAGAGAAAACCUAGCUCGUCGUUGCAGAUAGUAGGCCUUACUGCUGGUGAUCAGCAUUGCCACGGUCAGAGUCAGUACAAUGAUGGUCCUAUUGAUCCAUUGAAACUGCAUUACCAAGUGAAAUCAUGCACACAGCUUGGCGGGAUGAGUAGAGCACCAUUGGUUGCACCCACUUCGAGAAUGGCCCACUGGACCUUGGUAAACUCUUUACAUACUUCUAUCAGUCUAGCUCUCUUAAUAAACUAACGAAGGAUAGACGAUUCAAAAAUUAAACCAACUAUACUCAUAUCAAGUUGAAUGGAACCGAAAGAUGGUCUAACCUUUAUAUAUAUAAUCUAAAGCUUGGAUGCAAACUGAUCCGAGCUAAGCCUAG
rnacentral:lncRNA from 1 species